rnacentral:rRNA from 1 species
AAUGAACGCUGGCGGCGUGCUUUACACAUGCAAGUUGAGCGAGGCCACCCGCAAGGGUGAGCCCUAGCGGCGAACGGGUGAGUAACGCGUGGAUAACCUGCCCUUUAGUGGGGAAUAACCCGGGGAAACUCGGGCUAAUACCGCAUAAGACCGAGAGGUGAAAGCGGGGUCGCAAGAUCUCGUGCUAAUGGAGGGGUCCGCGUUCGAUUAGCUAGUUGGUAGGGUAAUGGCCUACCAAGGCGACGANCGAUAGCCGGCCUGAGAGGUGAUCGGCCACACUGGAACUGAGACACGGCCCAGACUCCUACGGGAGGCAGCAGUGGGGAAUAUUGCGCAAUGGGCGUAAGCCUGACGCAGCGACGCCGCGUGGGGAUGAAGGCCUC